UGCAUCGAUAGUCAAGAGCUCUCGACGGUGCUAAAGUAAUAUUCGAAUCCACAGAGUAAAUGUUCGAAUGACAGUGUUUCAACAAUUCUAUUCAGUGAUCUUUGCCGAAGCUUCGGCUACAGGAAAUGGCGCAAGCACCGAGCCCCACAAGCAGCACAUCCAGCAGCAGGCGUAGCUCCGCUGGCGAAGAACAGUCCAGCUCUGAUAGCGUAACAACUAAAAGCUCGUAUAAAGAGCCGAAACAACGAUCCCGGGAGGAAGAAAUUAAAAUACAAGUCGUGUACGAUGUCAUCUGUAAGAAAAAGACGAAGGCAUAGACGUCACGACAUUACGACAUCGCCGAGUCGACGAUCCGCAGUUGGGUUAGUUGUGUGAGGGAUUAUCUGACGCAGUUAGAAUUCGAAGGGAGGGACGUCAAAUUUACGGAAAACGGUUUUGUCGCUGACGACGGAGAACCCAUCGAUUGCGAAAUACACAGCGACCUGUCCGGAACAAAUUCACCGUCGCUUUCUGGCGACGACAACGCAUUAGAGCCGGCUUCUGACACGAGCUCCCCGUCGCCUGAAGAUAUGCCUUCGUCUCGUGCCGAGAGUGUCGAAGAUACAGAUUCAGAGCAUUUAAAGUAUCCUAUCAUACGAACUUGUACACGAAUCAUUCGCCGUUAUUUAUAGUUCUUUCGAAAGGAUUAGGAGUCACGGGUCGUCAAUCAGCCAAGAAGUCUUGGAGUUCUUGGCGGAUAGUGCGAACGCAAUCGCAUCUUAUGUAGAGCAUCAGAAUCAGCAGCAGCAGUAGCAGAAUGAUCUAAUUUAAAGGACGUUAAAGGAAGCAGUAAAGAAUUGCGCGUGGUCCAUGAAGGGCCCCCGAGCACACCUUAAAACCUACCGUAAAAUCUUUCUGUAUAAAUUCUCGCAGGAAUUCCCUGCAAGUCUUUGCAAAAACGCGCAAUUCAUGUAGGUUAUCCUACAGGACACCCUGCAGGGUUUUCUGUAGGGGAUUUUGUAAACGCGCAAUAAUAUGUAUCUGACAUAAUUUUAAAAUAUUAAAAGUUUUAAUGUUUGUACAUAAUAUAAAAAUAAAAAAUUGUUGCAGCAGAAAAUUAAUCAUAGUCAAAUCCGCUACGGUGCUUCUCUCGCAUUAAGAACGAUGUGUUAUAUUUGUAGAGAAGCAUCUACGCUAUUAAAUUAUUUCGGCCGCACAAAUGGUAGUAAAGCUGAGGACGUACGAAUGGAUUAAUAAAUAUAUUUUACAUUGAA